UACAGAGGUCUCAAGCGUUGUUCGGAUUCAUUGGGCGUAAAGGGUGUGUAGGUGGCGCGCUAAGUCGGGUGUGAAAUUUCGGAGCUUAACUCCGAAACUGCAUUCGAUACUGGCGUGCUUGAGGACUGGAGAGGAGACUGGAAUUCAUGGUGUAGCAGUGAAAUGCGUAGAGAUCACUGAGGAAGACCAGUGGCGAAGGCGGGUCUCUGGACAGUUCCCUGACACUGAGACACGAAGGCCAGGGGAGCAAACGGGG
rnacentral:rRNA from 1 species